rnacentral:rRNA from 1 species
GUGUCAGCAGCCGCGGUAAUACGGAGGGGGCUAGCGUUGUUCGGAAUUACUGGGCGUAAAGCGCGCGUAGGCGGUUUGCCAAGUCAGAGGUGAAAGCCCGGGGCUUAACCUCGGAAUUGCCUUUGAGACUGGCAGGCUUGAGUACGGGAGAGGUAAGUGGAAUUCCGAGUGUAGAGGUGAAAUUCGUAGAUAUUCGGAAGAACACCAGUGGCGAAGGCGGCUUACUGGACCGUUACUGACGCUGAGGCGCGAAAGCGUGGGGAGCAAACAGGAUUAGAUACCCUGGUAGUCCACGCCGUAAACGAUGGGUACUCGGUGUCAGCCCGAUGGGGUUGGUGCCUAAGCGAAAGCGAUAAGUAUCCCACCUGGGGAGUACGCCGGCAACGGUGAAACUCAAAGGAAUUGGCGGGG